rnacentral:tRNA from 1 species
AGUUAAAUAGCCUAAGAAAGCCUUAUGCUUUGAAAGCAUAUUAAAGAAGUUCAAAUCUUCUAUUAACUU